rnacentral:rRNA from 1 species
UACGUAGGUGGCGAGCGUUGUCCGGAUUUACUGGGCGUAAAGAGCGCGCAGGCGGUCGUACAAGUCGCGUGUGAAAGCCCCCGGCUCAACUGGGGAGGGUCACGCGAUACUGUUCGACUCGAAGGCAGGAGAGGGAAGUGGAAUUCCCGGUGUAGUGGUGAAAUGCGUAGAUAUCGGGAGGAACACCUGCGGCGAAGGCGGGUUGCUGGGCCGACACUGACGCUGAGGCGCGAAAGCCAGGGGAGCGAACGGG